UAUUUAGUAUAAGUAUGCCCCAUACAAUAUUUGGGAGAUAUUUAUAUUAAAA
rnacentral:pre_miRNA from 1 species